rnacentral:rRNA from 1 species
UACGGAGGGGGCUAGCGUUGUUCGGAAUUACUGGGCGUAAAGCGCACGUAGGCGGCUUUGCAAGUUAGAGGUGAAAGCCCGGGGCUCAACUCCGGAAUUGCCUUUAAAACUGCAUCGCUAGAAUUGUGGAGAGGUAAGUGGAAUUCCGAGUGUAGAGGUGAAAUUCGUAGAUAUUCGGAAGAACACCAGUGGCGAAGGCGACUUACUGGACACAUAUUGACGCUGAGGUGCGAAAGCGUGGGGAGCAAACAGGG